UCUAGCUGACCAAGAAAGUGUAUGUGUGGAAUCAAUUUAUCUGUGUAGUAAUACCAAAUUUUGAAAUCUGGCAUUUGAUGAGUCAGCCAGGGAGAAAAUGGAAACACAUUGUGAGAGGUUCCUUCUGUGAAAAAAGUGCAACUUUGUGACAUGAUAUGCCUUCCUGACUGUAUAUACCUGAGCAGCAUACAGCUUAUUACUGCAUAAAAGAAACAUAUCAAAAUAAUUUUGAAUCAGAUUGUGUGCUGGAAAAAUGGCCUUACAUCCAAAGGAGUGAAAUUUGGAGAGUCAUUUGCCAUCUACUUAAGCCAUCCUGGAAUAUGAAGAAAUAAGACUGCAUUGACAACAUCCUGAUCCUCGUGUUCAGAUCUUUUGUGAUUUCUUGUGAAGGGUCUUUGAUUUUUCAUAAAAAUAAAAAAUAUAUUAAUAUAAUAUGAUUUUUGCUUAUUACUGAGUUUUUUUCCGUUUCAGCAGGUGCAGCCGAUUUCCACUAGUUGCCACGUAUUUUCCUACUAUUGCCAGCUAUUUGGUGGCAUUUAGUGGAAAAUGGGACUGCCACCAUAGUGGCGUUUUGGUGAAAUUUUGUCCGCUUACUGCCACCUGUUAGGUGGCGAUUGGUGGAAGUAAGUGGCGUUUAGUGGAAAAUAGAUUUUACACCAUAAUGGUGGCAUUUUAGUGGUAAUUUGUCUAAAUACUCCACUAACUGCCACCAUGAAGGUGGCUAUUGGUGUAAUUAAGUGGCAAACAAAUUUUCCACCAUAAUGGUGGCAUAAUGGUGUAAAACUGUCUAAAUACUCCACUUAUUGCCACCUAAAGGUGUACACAAGUGGAAAGAGGUGGAAUUUAGUGGAAAACGGGUUUACCACUGUCCUG